rnacentral:rRNA from 1 species
GAUGAACGCUGGCGGCGUGCCUAAUACAUGCAAGUCGAGCGAAUGAUGAGGAGCUUGCUCCUCUGAUUUAGCGGCGGACGGGUGAGUAACACGUGGGUAACCUGCCUGUAAGAUGGGGAUAACUCCGGGAAACCGGGGCUAAUACCGAAUAAUAAAAGAAGAAGCAUUUCUUCUUUUUGAAAGUUGGUUUCGGCUAACACUUACAGAUGGGCCCGCGGCGCAUUAGCUAGUUGGUGAGGUAACGGCUCACCAAGGCGACGAUGCGUAGCCGACCUGAGAGGGUGAUCGGCCACACUGGGACUGAGACACGGCCCAGACUCCUACGGGAGGCAGCAGUAGAGAAUCUUCGGCAAUGGGCGAAAGCCUGACCGAGCAACGCCGCGUGAGCGAGGAAGGCCUUCGGGUCGUAAAGCUCUGUUGUCAGGGAAGAACAAGUACGAGAGUCACUGCUCGUACCUUGACGGUACCUGACCAGAAAGCCACGGCUAACUACGUGCCAGCCGCCGCUGUAAUAC